rnacentral:rRNA from 1 species
GCGUUGUCCGGAAUUAUUGGGCGUAAAGAGCUUGUAGGCGGUUGGUCGCGUCUGCUGUGAAAGGCCGGGGCUUAACUCCGGUUUUGCAGUGGGUACGGGCUAACUAGAGUGCAGUAGGGGAGACUGGAAUUCCUGGUGUAGCGGUGGAAUGCACAGAUAUCAGGAGGAACACCGAUGGCGAAGGCAGGUCUCUGGGCUGUAACUGACGCUGAGAAGCGAAAGCAUG